ACUCCUACGGGAGGCAGCAGUGGGGAAUAUUGCACAAUGGGCGCAAGCCUGAUGCAGCCAUGCCGCGUGUGUGAAGAAGGCCUUCGGGUUGUAAAGCACUUUCAGUCGUGAGGAAGGUAGUGUAGUUAAUAGCUGCAUUAUUUGUACGUUAGCGACAGAAGAAGCACCGGCUAACUCCGUGCCAGCAGCCGCGGUAAUACGGAGGGUGCGAGCGUUAAUCGGAAUUACUGGGCGUAAAGCGCAUGCAGGUGGUUUGUUAAGUCAGAUGUGAAAGCCCGGGGCUCAACCUCGGAAUAGCAUUUGAAACUGGCAGACUAGAGUACUGUAGAGGGGGUAGAAUUUCAGGUGUAGCGGUGAAAUGCGUAGAGAUCUGAAGGAAUACCGGUGGCGAAGGCGGCCCCUGGACAGAUACUGACACUCAGAUGCGAAA
rnacentral:rRNA from 1 species